rnacentral:rRNA from 1 species
GACGAACGCUGGCGGCGUGCUUAACACAUGCAAGUCGAACGGAAAGGCCCCCUUGUGGGGUGCUCGAGUGGCGAACGGGUGAGUAACACGUGAGUAACCUGCCCCUGACUUCGGGAUAAGCCUGGGAAACUGGGUCUAAUACUGGAUAUGACCAUGGGACGCAUGUUUUGUGGUGGAAAGUUUUUUCGGUUGGGGAUGGGCUCGCGGCCUAUCAGCUUGAUGGUGGGGUGAUGGCCUACCAUGGCGACGACGGGUAGCCGGCCUGAGAGGGUGACCGGCCACACUGGGACUGAGACACGGCCCAGACUCCUACGGGAGGCAGCAGUGGGGAAUAUUGGACAAUGGGCGGAAGCCUGAUCCAGCAACGCCGCGUGAGGGAUGACGGCCUUCGGGUUGUAAACCUCUUUCAGCACCGACGAAGCGCAAGUGACGGUAGGUGUAGAAGAAGGACCGGCCAACUACGUGCCAGCCGCCGCCGUAAUAC